AAAAUUUUCAUUUUUUAUUUAUUUCUUGUGUACAAAGUAAAAAAAAAGAAAGAAACAAGUAAGACAUCAAAGUGCUGUUACAAAAGACAACAUUGGAACAGGAAAUAGAAUCAAAACACUUUCAAAACAAACAGAAACAUUUGGACAUUUAGAUAUAAUAAAUAGUUGGACAAACUGUCCAAACAGAAAUUAUGUUUCAAUAUAUCUUUGUAUACAGAGGAUUAUUUCCUAUUCUAUUUACCUUAUUGAAUCUUGAGUGGGGAGUACUUUUAAUUUUACUGUGGGAUCAGUCUCAGAGAAUCUAGAUAGUACCUCCUAGACUUGUGCAUUAAUAAGAGUUCUGCACUAAAUACUAAUGCUAACAAAUGAAGUAAAAAAAAACAUUUAUGUUCCAUAUGCAAGAACAUCUACACCUUUUUAUAAUCAAACAUGAAUGAAAGUGUUCUCUGAACGGAAUUAGAACAACUGUUGCAUAAUAUACAUACAUCUUUUAAUUACCCCUGUAUCAGUUUGAGCUGCUUGUACAUGCAAAGUAUUUCUAAUAUGAAUGUCUGUGAAUCAUUGAACUGUACACAGCAAUGAGAACAACAUUUGGGGAAGAGAUCGUUCUGUCUUUGUGCUUAGGCUAUAUUGCACUUGUAUUUGGUUCACAACUAAGACAAAAGGACAAUCCUCUCUUAGUAAAAAGUUUCAAUUAAAGGCAAACAGUAUCAGGAUAGAAGUACAUACAGAAACAAACUUCAUUAUAUUUUGAUUGACUCUGGCAAGAGAACACGUUGAUUGUGUACAGAUUGUCUUACAGCAUACCACACUAAUGUCAAGGAAAAUGUGAAAUAGCUUUGAUCUCUUUGGAAAUUUGAUGGCAAAUACAUUCAUAUUACAAUGUCAUGUCAGAGCAAGAAUAAGCUGAACCUAUUUCAAUGCCUUAAAUCCAAAGCCAUGUCAGAGCAUCUACCAGUUGAACCUAUUACAAUGUCCUGAACCCAAAGCCAUGUCAGAGCCCCUACCAGCUGAACCUAUUCCAAUACCAUGAACCCAUGCCAUGUCAGAGCAAGUACCAGCUGAACCUAUUACAAUGCCCUGAACCCAAAGCCUUGUCAGAGCAAGUACCAGCUGAAC